rnacentral:sRNA from 1 species
CAGAUAUCAAUUACUUUUGGACGAUUAAAACAUAAUUUGAUUAUCAACUAUAGUGGUCAACUGAAUACUGAAAUCAAAAUUUCAUAAAAGGAUUUUUUCACCUCCACUCUACAUACAAGCAAGCGAAAAA